AAUACCGCGGCCCUUUAAAAUUUUUCAGUGGGCAGAUUAGACUUUAAAUUAUAUUCAAAAAGACAUGUUUUUGUUAAACAGGCGAGUAUUUAUUUGCCGAAUUCCUUAAUUAAACCUUUCAAUUAUUUUAUUUUAAACAAUUUAAUAUACUAAUUUUAUCAUUAUUUUAAUUUUUAUAUAAUUAUAAAAAUUAUUUUAAUAUAAACUUAAAUCAAUAAAAAUUAUUUUUAAUUUAAAAUAAAUUAUAACAUUUUUAUAAUUAAUGACUAUUUCUAAGCCUAUAAUUUUUAAACUAAAAAAAUAUUAUAAAAUUUAUUUUAAAGCUUAUCCCCUAAAAUAUUUAUUAUUAAUAAUAACUUAUUAUUUAAAUAAAUAAUUAUUUAUUAAUAAUCUAAAUUUAAUUUAUUUCUUAAAAAACUAGAUAUAUUUAAGAACGAAUAACAUUUCAUUUCUAAUUAAUUAUUUUAAAUUUUUAUGAAACAAAAAAUUAAAUAAUAAAUUAACUCUCUUAAAUUCGAGAAAAAUUAAAUUAUUAAUUUUUAAUUAAUAAACCCUGAUACACAAGGUACAAUAUAUUAAAUUUACUUUUAACUUAAAAUUUUUUCAAAUAUUUCAAUAUUCUUUUACAAUACUAAUUAACUAUCAUACAAAUUAUUUGAUCUAUAUACUAUACAAAAAAAAUUAAAAUUAAAAUUAAUUUUAUUAAAUAAAUUAAUAAACAAAAAAAAAUUAUAAAUUUUGAUUAUCAAAUUAAAUUGAAUUACACAAUAUACUUUUCAAUGUAAAUGAAAUGCUUUACUUUUCAAGCUCUAAUUUGUCUUUCUAGAUACACCUUC
rnacentral:rRNA from 1 species